rnacentral:rRNA from 1 species
AGAGUUUGAUCAUGGCUCAGAACGAACACUGGCGGCGUGGUUUAGGCAUGCAAGUCGAACGGGAAAGCCCUUCGGGGUGAGUAUAGUGGCGAACGGGUGAGUAACGCGUGGGAAACCUACCCUUUGGUGGGGGAUAACAGGCCUAACGGCCUGCUAAUACCGCAUACGUCCCCGAGGUCGCAUGGCCUUGGGUAGAAAGGUGGCCUCUCCAUGGAAGCUGCCGCUGAAGGAUGGUCCCGCGUCCCAUUAGCUAGUUGGUAGGGUAACGGCCUACCAAGGCGACGAUGGGUAGCCGGCCUGAGAGGGUGUCCGGCCACACUGGGACUGAGAUACGGCCCAGACUCCUACGGGAGGCAGCAGUCGAGAAGCUUCGGCAAUGGGCGAAAGCCUGACCGAGCGACGCCGCGUGAGCGAUGAAGGCCCUAUGGGUUGUAAAGCUCUGUCAGAUUGGGACGAAAACUUCGAGGUCAAUACCCCCGAAGCUUGACGGUACCAUCAGAGGAAGCACCGGCUAACUCCGUGCCAGCAGCCGCGGUAAUACGGAGGGUGCGAGCGUUGUUCGGAUUCACUGGGUAUAAAGGGUGCGUAGGCGGCGCGAUAAGUCAGGGGUGAAAUAUGUCGGCUCAACCGACAAACUGCCUCUGAAACUGCCGCGCUUGAGGUCGGGAGAGGAAGGUGGAAUUCCAGGUGUAGCGGUGAAAUGCGUAAAUAUCUGGAGGAACACCAAUGGCGAAGGC